ensembl:lncRNA
AAAAGCACCAUCACGCGGUCUCGGCGCCCUAGGCUGGCUAAAAAGUCUCUUUUUUCCAAAGAGAACGCCGAUUCCUCGAAUUUCCUUCACUUUUCCAACUCCCGGAGGGCGCUCCCCUCCCCCGCUCCCGGGGGCGCGGGCUCCGCGGGGCGCGGCCAGCCUGGCCCGCUCGCUCCGGAGUUGUUUACCGGCCCCGCCAACCGACCGGGUUUGUUCCAGCUCCCAGAGCCUGUCUCUAUAAUUAAACUCUUUUUUUAAUUGUGGGGUUGAAACGUCAUUUCGGGGACUUUCCAAGGGUGAGGGAGCCGAGGGGAGGGAGCGAGCCGCCUUAACUCUUCGCUGACCCGGCUUGCGCGCCGCGGUGGGCCAGGAGCAGCAUCCAGCCAGGCAAGGAGGGAUGGGGGUCUGGGGGCCGGAGCCGGCCUGACCCCCCCCCCCCCGCUCCCCGGGACGUGCUCAGCAGGUGCCCCAUGGUGGCGGGAACGGCCGCGAGCCGCGACCCGGGCAGGAAGCCCGACGGGAGGCGUGCACGGCCCUCCCCCGGCUCCUCCGCUCGGCAGUCAACCCUCCGGUUCCUCCCCGCGCCAGGCCAGAGUGGCCGCCCCUUCACCUGCACUGCCGCUUCCGACCGGGAGGCGAUGGGCCAGGUGCUCCGUUCCAGGCCUGACUUCUGGGCCCUCCCCACUCGCUUGGAGCCGGUCCCCUGGUGAGGAGUGGCUAGCCAGAGUGAGGGCUGAUCUUCCUGGGACAAGGCUGGAAACCAUUCCAGUUCACCCCUGAGUCUGGUGGCUUCCAACAUGGUGCCCUCUGGAGGGCUCACUGGAGAAUCUGAGCCAGAGGAGCCCUGUGGCAGGAGAAGCUUUGGGUGUGAUGGAACUGUGUUAUCAGCUUUGCAUCUUCCAGGGGCAGCAAGAGUUGCAAGAAAGUGAAGCAAACCAAGGCAAAAUUGAGAAGCAACAGAAGUAAAAAUGCAAGUGUGUUUGCCUUAGCGCUUGGCUUUGGCGUGCCCCGGCUGUCUGCAGUAGUCUUGCUACAGCUCUUCUGGAAGAUGUGAACGUUGCGGGGAACAUACACAGUGCCUGCAGAUCCCAACUUGUCAAGAUUUGUCCUCAAAAGGGCAAGCAAGGGACUUACCUGCCCUCCCCUAGUCUCCUCUGCUGUGAAAUGGCAAUGACAGCGAUACCCAUCUCCUGGGGCUGCCGCGAGGACAGAUGAGCAAAGCGCUUGGCACGUGUGAGCAUCCCUAGUCAACUGUUGCUGUAUGUUAAGCUGCGAAUUGGCAAGACCGAGAAGAAGGCUGGAGGCCCCACAAAGUGGGGUUCCACGGAGUCACUGGAACACAGUCAAGUAUCCUGAGCAAGAGAGAGAAGAGGGUCCCAGAGGAGGCCCAGGCAGCUGGCGGGUGGAGCGCUGCUCCGACAGCCAAGGACAGCCAGUCACAGCCGGGUGUCCUCCGGGGUGGGAGGACGCAGGGGGCUGCACUGCAGUCCUCCCGCAUUAGCUCAACGCCGCUGCAUCCCCACCCUUGCAUGUGUUCAUCCUGACAUGAAACCCAGCACGCAGUGACCUCACCCCCACUAUGUGCAGCCGCUGGCCAAGCAGAGAGCUGUACCAGAGUGAGCUUCAGAAGUGCUCAUUGGCCUCAGAGAUUUCAUAACUGGGCGUUUCUGCCCAAAUGCAGAAAUCUGUCUUUGAACUAGAGUUUAAGGAUGUGACCAAAUGCUGAGAAAUUCUUAUUUCAGGGCUGAUUUUUUUUUCUGUAAGUAGAAAGGCAAAGAGUUCAAAAUAUAUUCUGGAAAUGUGAACAGCAACUGAAUCUUGGUAAUAUUUAGGGAGUAUUAUUAAUUUUUAGGUGAAAUAAGGACAGUGUGGCUAAGUUGAAUGAGUCCAUUUUUUUUAGAGCUACAUACUGAAAUACCAACAGAUGAAAUGAUAUGAUCCAAUAUAUAGGAUUUACUUCAAAAUUAUAUGGGAGGUGGGGAGGCAGCUGGUGCUGUAAAUGAACAAGCUUGGCCAGGAGUUGGUGAUGUUGGUGAUGGGAGUUCCUCAUACUCUCUGUCUUCUUCUGUACACGCUUGAUGUUUUCCAUAAAAAAAUGUUUUAAGUUCAUAAAAGCUGAAAAAAAUUUAACUCAGGGAUUCUUGUUUUACUGGUUCUUGCAACAUGAUAUUUACUUCCGAAGGACAUGUGCUCUUGGACAAGAGAUGAGCUUGUAGGGGGAUGUGCCCAGAGCCGCGGAGGACUGGCAAAGAGACAGGGAGACCACCACCCCGGGGUCAGG